UUUGGAGUGAAAAGAUCACUAUACAUUAUAUAUAUUUUUUGUCUUUCAUGUCUAGAUAUAUUUUUAUUUAUUUGUAAAGUUCAAAACAUUGAAUUAACGCUUGUAACGUUGGAAACGUUGGAAUAACGUUGGAGAUUUUGACUCGGGUAAGCGCUUAAAAU